CGGGACGUGGCGUAGUCCGGUAGCGCACUCGGCUGGGGGCCGAGGGGUCGCAGGUUCAAAUCCUGUCGUCCCGACCA
rnacentral:tRNA from 1 species